UACGUAGGGUGCAAGCGUUGUCCGGAUUUAUUGGGCGUAAAGAGCUCGUAGGCUGUUCGAUAAGUCGGGUGUGAAACCUCCAGGCUCAACCUGGAGACGCCACCCGAUACUGUCAUGACUAGAGUCCGGUAGGGGAGCGUGGAAUUCCUGGUGUAGCGGUGAAAUGCGCAGAUAUCAGGAGGAACACCGGUGGCGAAGGCGGGUCUCUGGGCCGAUACUGACGCUGAGGAGCGAAAGCGUGGGGAGCGAACAGG
rnacentral:rRNA from 1 species